CUACGGAGGGUGCAAGCGUCAUUCGGAAUCACUGGGCGUAAAGGACGCGUAGGCGGGUUGGCAAGUCAGAUGUGAAAUCCUACAGCUUAACUGUAGAACUGCAUUUGAAACUGCUAACCUAGAGUAUGGGAGGGGGAGAUGGAAUUAGUGGUGUAGGGGUAAAAUCCGUAGAUAUCACUAGGAAUACCGAAAGCGAAGGCGAUCUCCUGGAACAUAACUGACGCUAAGGCGUGAAAGCGUGGGGAGCAAACAGGAUUAGAAACCCUAGUAGUCC
rnacentral:rRNA from 1 species